GUUCCUGGGUUGGGAAGAUCCCCUGGAGAAGGAAAUGGCAACCCACUCCAGUAUUCUUGACUAGAGAAUCCCAUGGACUGAGGAGCCUGGCAGGCUACAGUCCAUGGGGUUGCAAGAAUUGGACACGACUUAGCGACUAAACCACCACCACUUCUAGCUCUAGCCCAACUAUUAGGGGAUUAAUUCAUAGUCUUAAUGUUUGAUUCUUUUUCUCCCUCCUUUGGACCUCGUGGCUUGACUUUUUCUCCUCACAGGUUUUCCAACAGCAAAGAAUAACAAUCUCAACCACAUGUCAUCCAAGUAAGAAAAUAGUUCUUAGUCUUGACUGAAAGGAUACUGAAUUCCCUAUGUACCCGGUAAGGGGAGUGUCUUCUUUGGUGAUCAGUAGACAGGCUGGCCUCUCUGGACACCUCCUCAUCUGUGACCACGGUAGUUACCGUGAGAAGGACAUCUGACUUCUGAUACGCAGCCAAGAAGGGAAAUUAGAGGCUGGUUCUUCUGAACUGACUCAAAAUGAGUGGGGAGUUUGGAAGAACAGAUUCAACAGGUGCGGUGGGCUGAGCACCUGUUCUCCUUCCCUUGGGACCCAACCUGCCCUUGGAGUGCAUCUGUUCUGCAGUCUUCCUCCCAUGCUGGGGGGGCCUCCAACACGAUCUAUGGAGAAUUCUGAUGAAGUUUUCUAGCCACUCUGGCAAAAUCAUCCACAAGGCUAACGCCCAAGCAGCUGCUUUAUGACCUUGAGAAACGGUGGUUAUGUUCUAAGAACCAUGGAGCAAAAAGAGGAAAGAUGGCUGGAUUCCUGAAGACAGUGGAGCCUCCUUUCCAGUCUUGAUAUAACUGAUGUUUUCCCAACCAGGAACCAAGCCCACUCCCCAUGCAGAGGAAGCCAGGAGUCUUAACAACUGGGCCGCCAGAGAACCUACAGAAACUAAGACACAUUUGUCAUAUAACUGACCACAUGAAAGCAAGAAAAUACAAGCCUACCAAAGAAGCACUAUAAUCUUCAGGUUUGUAGUUAUUCAAAAAGACUGUGUUUUGAGAUGAUUUACAUCUGCAGCUGCAGAAAGCACAUAUUUGUAUUACUCUGUGGAAACAUGACUUUUCAUUUAGAUCAAAUGUCUGUUCUAAACUAAUUUUGCAUUUUGAAUUUUGUUGAGCAUGUGUGAAAAGCGAACUUAUAGCUGUUAAGCUAUUGGUUCCAUUAACAAAGGAACUUUGCAAACAUUUAAAAGAUACCUGUUUGAGACUUCCCUGGUGGUCCAGUGGAUAAGAAUCCCCCUGCCAACGCAGGAACAGAGGUCCGAUCCCUGCUCUGGGAAGAUUCCACAUGCCUUGGGGCAACUAAGGCAGUAUGCCAUAACUACUGAAACUCAUGCUCUGCAACAAGAGAAGCCACUGCAAUGAAAAGCCCAAGCACUGCAACUAGAAAGUAACCCCCACUUGUCACAACUAGAGAAAGUUCUCAUGAAGCAAUGAAGACCCAGUGCAACCAAAAAUAAAUAAAUAAAUAAUAUCUAUUUUAUGUCAGUGUUAUUGGAUAUUUCAAGUAGAAAAUUAAUUCCAAUAAUUCAGUUUUGUUCUCAUUCAAUUUAUGGAAUCAAAAUGAAGAUUUUGGAAGUUCAUUAGACAUUAUUGUGAAUGCUAUUAUAAAUUUAGCUAAGCAAUUUAUGUUUGAAAAGGAAAUCAUGUGUUUUUGUGGUGAUAAUACGAGUAAAGUUUUUGGAGGAUCAUAAUGUUAUGGUAAAAUAUAUAUUAAAAAAAAAAACCCCAAAACUAUGAAGCAGAAAAGUACCUAUGGUGCAUAUAUAAUUUAUAACUGAGGCAAAAUAAGUGACAAUAUUUUACCAAUCCAAACAGAGUUAUAACUGUAAGAAUUUACAAACAUAUAUAUUAAAUUUACUAAUAUACAUAUAAUUACAAACUUAUACAUGUGUAGACGUACAUAUAGGCUUCCCUGGUGACUCAGCAGUAAAGAAUCUGCCUUUAAUGUAGGAAACACGGGUUCAAUUCCUGGGACAGGAAAAAUCCCCUGGAGGAAGGAAAUGGCAACCCACUCCAGUAUUCUUGCCUGGGAAAUCUCAUGGACAGAGGAGCCUGGCAGGCUACAGUCUAUGGGGUCACAAAAGAGUUGGACAUGACUUAGUGACUAAACAACCAAUGUACAUAUAUACAUAAUAAAUACACAUACAUAAACAUACAUAUAUAAAUUUUAUAUGUAUGAGCAUAGAUAUUUAUGUAUUAUAUUGUGCAAUAUAUUAUAUAUAUUAUAUAUGUAUGAGCUAAGAUAAUUUAUGAAGAAGUUGAUGUCAUCAACCUAAAUGUUCUACAAUUGUAUUAAGUUUUUAAAAGUGAGUUGAUUAUUAUAGGUAUAUAUUCAUAAACAGUAACCUGUGAAUUGUGAGUGCAUUUUGCUUAAAAUUCAUUGGAAACCUUUAAUCAAAAUAUUCAUUGAAUGAUAUGCCAAAACCUCAGCAUUUGAAGUUUUUAGUAAACUGCAAUAAUGGAAAAUACAGUUUGCUUGUGGAGACAUUGAAAUUUAUUUCCACAAAAGCAAAUGAAAAUCAAACAAAUCAAAUGACUAGCAAACAGUUUACAAGGUUUGAUUUUGAGAAUUUAGAAUAUCUCAACUUUGCGAAAAGAAUGUUUUGGUAGAACUCGUAUAUUGAAACAAACAAAUUGAUAUUCUUUUCUGGAAUUAGAUGAAAUUGAGUAGAAUCUCAAUCUGGUGAAACGUUCUAAGAACCAUAAACUAAAGAUUACUUGUCAGUUCUUUCUGCCUUCUAAAAAUAUUUGUCAACAUGUUAAAAUACAGUUAUCUGUGAAAAUAUUUACACAUUUCAAAAGAAAAAAUUAAGAUAGAGUAUUCUACUUGGCAGAAUUUUCUGAGUUUACCAGGUUACUUCAGCAAUUGUAAAGAGUAUUUUUCUCACUUAAAAUAUUCUGGUCCAAUAGCUGAUUGACACUGUUAUACAGCAGAAAGUAGCGCAACAUAGUAAAGCAAUUAUCGUCCAAUUAAAAAAAAACUAACCAUGCUGUAUUUCAGGGCCUCUCGCCUUCUGAGAUGGCCCACGCUCUUGUCUGUGGAGUGUUUCUCUUUAAAUAGAUUCAUUCCUUACCUAAACACACAUACAUGGUCUACAGAAAAGAGUUAAAUAAAGAUGCCAACAAUUUCAGAUUUAUUAUUCAUAGCUUGCAAAUUUGGGAAUGGUCACUGACAAUUUUAAUAAGAAGUAAAAAAUAAUAAAAUACUGUUUAAAAAUAUCCUUCAGAAUAAAAGUGACAUGGUGUUAGAAGCAGAGAUGGUUGAGAAACAGUUAAAACCUGUGAAUACAUUCCCAGAAGAAUUAUUUUUCUUAUGUUAUUUAUGUUAUUUUUAAAUGUAUGGUUUGAAGCAUGGUGUGUU